UUACGGGAGGCAGCAGUGGGGAAUAUUGGACAAUGGGCGAAAGCCUGAUCCAGCAAUGCCGCGUGAGUGAAGAAGGCCUUAGGGUUGUAAAACUCUUUCACCCGUGAAGAUGAUGACGGUAGCGGGAGAAGAAGCCCCGGCUAACUCCGUGCCAGCAGCCGCGGUAAUACGGAGGGGGCUAGCGUUGUUCGGAAUCACUGGGCGUAAAGCGCACGUAGGCGGUGUAUCAAGUCAGAGGUGAAAGGCCUGGGCUCAACCUAGGAACUGCCUUUGAGACUGGUACGCUUGAGUCCGGGAGAGGGUAGUGGAAUUCCCAGUGUAGAGGUGAAAUUCGUAGAUAUUGGGAAGAACACCGGUGGCGAAGGCGGCUACCUGGCCCGGUACUGACGCUGAGGUGCGAAAGCGUGGGGAGCGAACAGGAUUAGAUACCCGUGUAGUCCG
rnacentral:rRNA from 1 species